rnacentral:lncRNA from 1 species
UUCACUUGACCAUUUCAACACCAACCAUCAAAGCAUUAAAAUGUCAAAAGUUCAUCAACCAUAAUACCACAUUUACAAGCCAAACAUAAUGACAAUCUCAUCAAACACAAUUCACCUAUACAUGUCAUUAUAACCAUGACUCAAAACAUAAAAAAUUACCGAUAUAGUCGUUGGAUAGUGUGAUAGGUCUCCAACGAGCUUCCAAACCGAUCGAGCUUCCGAUAAUCUAUAAAACAUAGAAAAGAAACACAAUGUAAGCAUAUAAUGCUCAGUAAGUUCGUAAAUCAUAAACAAUGCUUACCAUUUCAAUGCAUAAGCUUAAAAAUAAACAUGAAUCAAUCUAACACAAGCUUGGCACAAGCCUAAACAUCACCAACAACACAAGUUAGUACUUAAUCACAUAACUUAGCAAAAUUCAUCACAUGGUAAGGUUAAUUUCAUAAUCAUAAUACAUAUGAAUUCAUACCUUUCAUAACAUGGCUAUACAUACUUUGAUAUCCAAUACUUCAUACCUUCCCAUAAUUUCAUAAUGAAAUCAAUCGGAACCCUUACCAGUUCAUCCCUUUACAUGCCCGUUGAACCACUUAUAAUAAUAUCAGAUACACGGGAAGCUCACACAAAGUGUGCUAACAUAUGGUCGAAAUCAUUCUUUUCGUUUUCCUUUACGUAAAUGCUCAUACGAGCCAUAUAUGAGCCUACUCACACAAGCUAACGAGUAUCCACAACAAAUGCUCAAACUAAACCAUCGGUAGGACAUUCAGGACCAGCACCUGAAACAUGGUAACCCUAAUGAUCAUGUCAUUUGUAUCAUAUAUAUUCCUAAGGUUCAAAAGGGCUCGAUAGUCGCUGUAACAUUGUUGGAUUUUCCAUCGUGACAUGAUAUGAUAAAUAAAAUAAUAACAUUUAAAAUAAAUACAUUAAAAUGCUAUUUAAACGUACAAACUUACCUCUAUCACAAAAACGAUGAAAUAAGAUCGACUAGUCCAACACUUUAUCUUUCCCUCGAUCUAAAUCCGUACGAGGCUUAAUUUGAUAUAAAUAAGUAAAUUCAAUCCAUUCAACAACUAUUCUAUUCAAUUUAGUCCAAAAUACAUACUUCUACAAAUUUACACUUUUACCCCUAAUAUUUUAACUUCUUUACAAAUUAGUCUUUAAGCCCGUAAAUUGAAAUUCAUGUAAUUUAAUCCACGAACUAAACUAGCUGAAUUCUUUAUAAAGUCAUAGCAAGUCAUACAACUCAUUAUUUCACAAUUUCAUCAUGUAAUUUACACAUUUUACUAAUAAAUCCCUAUUUGACAUUUUCAACAAAAUUAACUUUACAAAAAUUGUUUAUUUAACAACAAAGAUUCAUUUUCUUCCAUCAAACAUCAAGAAUCAUAUGCACACAUUCAUGGAAAAACCCUAACUUUUCUACAGUUUUGCAAAUUAGCCCCUAGGCUAGCUAGAUUAAGCUACAACUACUUCAAAAACAUAAAAAUCAUUAAAAACGGGCUUGAAAACCUACCUUGCAUGAAGAAUUUACCCUAGCCGAAUGUUAAGCCUUCAGAAUGGAGUUUUUC